rnacentral:rRNA from 1 species
UUAAAGGGCCGCGGUAUUUGGACCGUGCUAAGGUAGCAUAAUAAAUAGUCUUUUAAUUGGAGUCUAGUAUGAAUGGUUGGACAUGAAGUAAGCUGUUUCAAUUGUAUUUUUUGAAUUUUACUUUUAAGUGAAAAGGCUUAAAUUAAAUGGUGGGACGAUAAGACCCUAUAAAGCUUUACAUUUUGUUUUUUGAUUGAAGGGUUUAAGGUUUCUUAUUUUUAUUGAACAAAAUGUUUCGUUGGGGUGACGAAAAUAUAAAUAGUAACUGUUUUUAUUUAAAAAAUAUGGUUUUAUAGGUGAAUUGAUCCUUUAUAUAGAUUAUAAGAUUUAAGUUACUUUAGGGAUAACAGCGUAAUUUAUCUUAAGAGUUCAUAUCGACAGAUGUAGUUGCGACCUCGAUGUUGAAUUAAAAUACCCCCUAGGCGUAGGAGUUUCGGUGGUAGGUCUGUUCGACCUUUAAA